AUUGAACGCUGGCGGCAUGCCUUACACAUGCAAGUCGAACGGCAGCACGGGAGCAAUCCUGGUGGCGAGUGGCGAACGGGUGAGUAAUAUAUCGGAACGUGCCCAGUCGUGGGGGAUAACGUAGCGAAAGCUACGCUAAUACCGCAUACGAUCUAUGGAUGAAAGCGGGGGAUCGCAAGACCUCGCGCGAUUGGAGCGGCCGAUAUCAGAUUAGGUAGUUGGUGAGGUAAAGGCUCACCAAGCCGACGAUCUGUAGCUGGUCUGAGAGGACGACCAGCCACACUGGGACUGAGACACGGCCCAGACUCCUACGGGAGGCAGCAGUGGGGGAAUUUUUGGACAAUGGGCGCAAGCCUGAUCCAGCAAUGCCCGCGUGCAGGAUGAAGG
rnacentral:rRNA from 1 species